AACUUGUUGCAAUGUAUCUCUUGGCUCUCGCGUCGAUGAAGAACGCAGCGAAAUGCGAUAAGUAAUGUGAAUUGCAGAAUUCAGUGAAUCAUCGAAUCUUUGAACGCACCUUGCGCCCUUUGGCUAUUCUGAAGGGCAUGCCUGUUUGAGUAUCAUGAACACCUCAACUCUCAUGGUCCGCCAUGAUGAGCUUGGACUUUGGGGGUCUUGCCGGCCUAGUGUCGGCUCCUCUCAAAUGGAUCAGCUUGCCAGUGUUUGGUGGCGUCACAGGUGUGAUAACUAUCUACGCUUGUGGUUUUCUGCCAUAUAACCUUCAGUGAUGGAGGUUCUCUGGAGCUCACAGAUGUCUCUCCUUGGGGAGGACAGCUUUUGAACGUUUGAUCUCAAAUCAGGUAGGACUACCCGCUGAACUUAAGCAUAUCAAUAAGCGGAGGCU
rnacentral:misc_RNA from 1 species